rnacentral:tRNA from 2 species
GCAUUUGAAGCUAACUAGGUAGAAGCGCUGGGUUGAAAUUCCAGAGGACUUGGAUCGUUACCAAGCAGAUGCA